rnacentral:rRNA from 1 species
GACGAACGCUGGCGGCGUGCUUAACACAUGCAAGUCGAACGGUGAACCAGGGCUUGCCCUGGGGAUCAGUGGCGAACGGUGAGUAACACGUGGGCAACCUGCCCCUGACUCUGGGAUAACUCCUCGAAAGAGGUGCUAAUACCGGAUACGACCACUUCGGGCAUCCGAUGGUGGUGGAAAGAAUUUUGGUCAGGGAUGGGCCCGCGGCCUAUCAGCUUGUUGGUGGGGUAACGGCCCACCAAGGCGACGACGGGUAGCCGGCCUGAGAGGGCGACCGGCCACACUGGGACUGAGACACGGCCCAGACUCCUACGGGAGGCAGCAGUGGGGAAUAUUGCGCAAUGGGCGAAAGCCUGACGCAGCGACGCCGCGUGAGGGACGACGGCCUCGG